rnacentral:lncRNA from 1 species
UUUCUGGACCCGAAAGCAUCUAGUCCCAAAGACAUCUUUGGAUUAUCAACUGAAAACUCGCUGAAACUGAAACAGAGAACUGAAAACUGUCGCUGCUGGAAAACAGGAUUACUGUAGCUGCCGGAAAAGCACUGUAGCUGCCGAAAAAAUUCAAAGUUGUCGGAAUUGAAAAAUACAAAUAUGGAUAGGCUCGGAAUUCAAGGUUGAGCAAACUGUCCUGAAGAAAUUCUGGUCGGAAAGUACUGUAGCUGCCGGAAAAUUCAAUAAAGUCGCCGGAAAAAACUGAAAGUUGUCGGAAUCGAAUGAAACAAAGAUGGGUAGGGUCGGAAUUGAAGGCCGAUCAAACUGUCCUUCUGGAGCAAACUGAAAAUGUGGCCGGAAAGGCCCUCACGCGACGGCGAGUGGGCUCACGCGCCGAGGGUAUUGCCGGCGCGUGGGGACGCGUGGCUGGCUGGUUUCCGGUGAUUUUUUCUGGGGUUGGUCGGAAUUCUCUUCCGAACCUCGUGGUGGUCUCGGAUUUUGCACAGAACCCACAAAAAGGGUAGUUUUAGUUACGGACAGCCUCUUAAGUCGCCGGAAAAUUGCACGGCGACGAN